rnacentral:rRNA from 1 species
UGGGGAAUAUUGGACAAUGGGCGCAAGCCUGAUCCAGCCAUGCCGCGUGAGUGAUGAAGGCCCUAGGGUUGUAAAGCUCUUUCACCGGUGAAGAUAAUGACGGUAACCGGAGAAGAAGCCCCGGCUAACUUCGUGCCAGCAGGCGCGGUAAUACGAAGGGGGCUAGCGUUGUUCGGAUUUACUGGGCGUAAAGCGCACGUAGGCGGACUUUUAAGUCAGGGGUGAAAUCCCGGGGCUCAACCCCGGAACUGCCUUUGAUACUGGAAGUCUUGAGUAUGGUAGAGGUGAGUGGAAUUCCGAGUGUAGAGGUGAAAUUCGUAGAUAUUCGGAGGAACACCAGUGGCGAAGGCGGCUCACUGGACCAUUACUGACGCUGAGGUGCGAAAGCGUGGGGAGCAAACAGG